GAUGAACGCUGGCGGCGUGCCUAAUACAUGCAAGUCGAGCGAACAGACGAGGAGCUUGCUCCUCUGACGUUAGCGGCGGACGGGUGAGUAACACGUGGAUAACCUACCUAUAAGACUGGGAUAACUUCGGGAAACCGGAGCUUAUACCGGAUAAUAUAUUGAACCGCAUGGUUCAAUAGUGAAAGACGGUUUUGCUGUCACUUAUAGAUGGAUCCGCGCCGCAUUAGCUAGUUGGUAAGGUAACGGCUUACCAAGGCAACGAUGCGUAGCCGAACUGAUAGGGGGAUCGGCCACACUGGAACGGAGACACGGUCCAGACUCCUACGGGAGGCAGCAGUAGGGAAUCUUCCGCAAUGGUCGAAAGCCUGACGGAGCAACGCCGCGUGAGUGAUGAAGGUCUUCGGAUCGUAAAACUCUGUUAUUAGGGAAGAACAGAUGUGUAAGUAACUGUGCACGUCUUGACGGUACCUAAUCAGAAAGCCACGGCUAACUACGUG
rnacentral:rRNA from 1 species